AUGGCUCUCGGUGACUAUCCGGCGGAAUAUAAUCCUAAGGUACAUGGACCCUACGAUCCAGCUCGUUUUUACGGAAAACCC
rnacentral:lncRNA from 1 species